UCUUUAAAUCCGUGUUGUGUUUUGUUUUGAUUUCUCUCGGAAUGUGAGCCUUUAUCGAAAUAAGCAUUUAGUCUUUGUGUUGGUUUUGUUGUUUGUCAGGGUGAUUGGGUGUCCCUUGGAAUGCAAAUAUUUUGAGGAUCGAUUUGGUGAAAAAUAAGUUCUCCUAAUUUCCUAAGUAUUUUCUUCCUAUAUUCCUAACCAUUUUAUGCCUUCUUAAAUGGAUACAUGCAUUUUAAGCUUGUUUUCAAUUUACUGGAUUGGAAGGUCAAUUUCUGCAGGACCUGGCUAUUUAGAUGUCUGAAUGGUAAUGGGGUUAUCAUGUUUAUCCAUAUUCUGAAUUAGGUUUAUGAUCAUGGCAAACAUUGAGAAGAUAGGAUCUCAGUCUAGGGUUUGUUCGUUUUAGUUUGGCGGGGUGACUCAGAUACAUGCAUGGGUUGUUGAGCUCGGAAGCAGGUUAGAAGGAUUAGGGUGGUUGAUUUGAGUCAGACACGGCUAUUUGGUGGUCUAUCUCUUCGGGAGGUUUUCAUCUCUAUAAAAAUUCAGAAGUUUGUGAACAUGACAACCAUUCAGUGUAGUUGUCAUUCUUUCAGGAUUGGCGGUGUGAAACGGGUACCUGGGUAGUUGGGGUUCGAGGACUUUGUGGUGAACGUUCUUUAGGCGAUUGCAGAGGAUUUAUUGGUAUUUAAGUUUUUAUCGAGGCUUAUGUGUGAUUUCUCCUGAUUUAGUGGAUUUUCUAACAGCAUUGGAUCUUUACGUUGGUUUUCUUGUUCCUCAGUAUGAUUGGGGUUUCCUUAGUUGGCCUGUAUUGAGUGGUUUUAUUUCACACGAAACAAGUUUUAUUUUCCUUAUUGUUCUCUGUUCUUGAAUUCUUUACUUUUCUUUUCCUUUUCUAUACAGGAUUUAGACUAUCUAUUUGGGCUGUCAUGGCCAUCUAGAUGUCCUUGUCAUGGGGCUUAUAUUCAAAUUUAAGUUUAUAAGCUUGGACGAUCAUUGGGAAUCUGUAUAUAGGGUCUUAGUCUUAGUUAUAAUGUUUGCUUUUAGGUUUGUGGUGUGAAUCCAAUAGCGUGGUUGCGAGGACUGGAUGGAGGUUUGAGGGUUUUAUUAUGCCUCUUUCUUUUUUACUAAUUACACUGGAUUUAAAGAAAUUUAAUUCAUUGUUAAAUCUGAUAUCUUGCUGUUUAUUUAUAUUAGAAAUGUAAUUUUUUUUAUCGGUGUUGAAUCUUUGUGAUGGUUUUCAUAUUCACCAGGAAGAUUCAAUGUUCGUUGGGUGUUCCUUGGCUUGUAUAUAUUUGGUGGAUCCAUUUCACGAAGAAUAAGUUCCCCUAAUUCUUAAUUUUCCCCCGAAAUUCUAAUCUUUUUAUUAAUCUUUUUUACAUGAAUACAUGCAUUGCAAGCUUGUUUUCUAUGUACAGGAUUAAAAGGUGAAUUUGAGCAUGAACAUAUCACGGGGGGGUUUAUAUACAAAUUAAAGUUUAGGUUUAUAAUCAUGAAAAUCAUGUAGUGUAUAUAGGAUCUUAAUCUAGCUUACAUUCAUUUUAGGUUGGCGGUGCGACACCCGUACAAGGGCUGUUGAGACUUAGUGGAUGUUUGACGGUUUUGUUACACUUCUUUCCUUUUGUUAAUUAGAGUCGAUUUAGUGAUCUUUAAAUUAGUGUUUGGGCUCUAUAUUGAAUUCUGUCUAACUAUGAGCUUGUCAAAUCAUUCUGAAUCCUAUUGGUGGUUUUUCUGAUCAUUUGGGAGAUUGGGUUACCGCUGGCUUGCUUAUAUUGGGUGGGUCGUCUUGAUUCUCAGUUGGUUUUCCCAGUUUCUUGUGUUUCUUUUCUUGUUUUUGAGUUGCUCAUCUUUUUUAUUUCCUUUUGUGUUAGUGAUGACUAGCGUUGCAAGUUUAAUAUGGAUUUACAGGAUUUGGACGGAUGACUAGCGUUGUAAGUUUAAUAACUAUCUCCUAAUUAUUCAUUGUUGAAGGUGUGAAAUCGACUUCUGGGUUAUUGAGGUUCGAUGCAGGUCUCGUGACGAUAAAUUUCAAUUGGACAUGGCCAUUAAUUGAAAUCGAUAUCAUUCUUUUUUUUUCCUUAUAUUUAUCAUCUUUAGUAUUUGGGCGAUAAAUUUCAAUUGGACGUGGCCAUUCAGCCAUUCAGAUGUCCAUCUCAUAAGGGGGUUAUCAUGGUUAUUGAUGUCCAAAUUUGAGUUUGUAAGCAUGACGAUCAUUGAGAAUAUGAUAUCAAGGUUGAUGAGAUUAGAUUGAGGUUUGAAGGUUUUAUUCCAAAGCCUUCUUUUUGUUUAUUAGAGUGUAUUUAACGAUCUUUAAAUCAAUGUUAAAUCUCAGAUUUUAUUUCUCUUUGAAUUAUGAUUUUUUUAAUCAACGUUGAAUCUUUGUGAUGAUUUUCCUUGUUCAACAGGAAUACCCAAUGUUCCUUGGCUUGCUUAUAUUGGGUGGUUCUAUUUGACGAAGAAUAUGUUGUUGUGAGCUGGAAAAUUUGUCGUCACAAAACCUUUUAGGUUGGCUUGAGGUUUUGCUAUUUUUUGUCAAGAAAUUACAGUCAUGUAUUUAUUAUCUGUAAUAUUGGGUGGUAAAGAUUGGAUAUUAUUUGAGCGUCUGCUUGUUUGCGUCCUCUAGUUAACUUUUGUGGUUACAAUUUAGGAGGACUGAAUUAGGCUUGGCUUGGCAUUGGCACUAUGAAAGUUGUCUUUGGCUGUGGUUUAUUUUAGUUUUUAGGAUUAUUUUGUUACCCAUUACUUGCUACACUAUCGACUACAGUUAUUUGUUUCUCUGUUUUUUUUACUAUUUUGUUCAGAUAUUUUUUUUGCUCAUAUUUUUGCUAUGUUUAGAACCUUUCCGAUAUGGUAAGGCCUUUUUAUGUGUGUGGGCAUCUUAUUGUUGUUAAAUUACUUUGUUCUAUUUUGGCUCUCUAAUGCAAAAAGCUGGUUCUAUUUAUUUUCUUUUGUGCUUAGAUGAACGAAUUGCAGACUUCCCAAGAACAAAGGAAAUUCUUUAAGAUAAUGUUAGUUGCAAUGUGUCUGAUCAAUCACAUUACUAAAUCUUAGGUUCUUGCUUUUCAGCCCCUCUAUUUCUCUUGCAGUUUGAUCCGACUUGCAAUGGUUUUUUGAAAUCCUGUUUAAUCGUGGUCAUUGUUUAUUUGGAUUAGAUUAUAUUGGAAUGAAGUUCUGUUUGUUUUCUAGUUUGAUUGGCCACAAUCAUUAUUCUUUUGCACAUCGUUUUGUUGGUUCUUGGCUUUUGAUAGUGCCGUGGUCAUAUGGAUGGGAUUGCGUUGGACUUUUUCUUUGGUUAUGACUUUCAAAUGAAUGUUGAUACUUUUGUUUUCAUUUUUCUCUAAUUUAGGUUGUGUUUGGAUAAGCUACAGGUUUGUGUUUUCAAAGUCCAAUAAAAGCACAAAACCUCAACUUUAGGCUUUGUGAUUUGGGGCUUAAAAUUUUUUUGUCUUCAGAUUAUAAUGUUUUUAAAAUAAAUUCUUACCAAAUGCUCAAGACAUUUUUUUGGCUCAAAUUUGUUUUCCAAAGCCCAAAGCUCAAAAGUAAAAGCUUAUCCAACAAGGCCUUAGUCGUUUCUAGAGCAGCUUUUGAAUCUUGAAUUGUUUUUUUUUUUUUUUCAUUUCACCUUAUUUUCUUAUCUCUGUUUUAUUCCUGAAUUUAUCCGUGCCUUAUUCCUUUUAGGGAGAAUGACGGUUCAGCCCAGGGUCAGAAAUUUUAGGCCCAAAGUACAGUUGGGGUAGGUGUCAGCUCGGAAUUGAUGCUCAUUCAUGGGCGGGCAUUGAAUGUUUAUUUAGAUUCCUAUUUAAGUUUUCGUGGUUAUUUGGAUAAAUAUAUGGGAAGUGAUUUGAUCAGUGGGUUUUCGUGGUUAUUUAGAUUCCUAUUUAAGUUUUGUACCAAGUCUAUUAUCCCGUAGGUUUGCUGUGGAUUCUACAUAGGCUCUUGGCUCACUUCACAAAAGAAGGGUAUCCCAAUAAGUCUUAUAAUGACUUAUUUGUGGAUUCUACGUAGGCUCUUGGCCCAUUCAUCAAAUUUUUUUUAGCAUUUUUGAUUUUGUAUUGAUUUAUAUUUGACAUGGCUGUUAAAAGUAGCCCAAUCAGAUAGGGGACUUUAAGGUGGUGCUGAGCUGGCUGGAGAGAAAAAAUAAGGGUUCGUGGAUGCUUCAACAGCUGAUAAGAGAAUCCAUUGCAUUGGCAUCCAAUGUGAAUUGCUCAUUCAAAUCAAGACCUGAUCAACUAGGGAACGGCCUUUAUGGGGGAUUCUAGGUUUGGGCACUGAUGUAAAUCUGAGACAACAGA